AUCGUUAAGCACGCCGGGCGAUAUGCUUGGCGGUAUUUCGUUUGUCGUUACGUUCUGAGUUCAAAUUCCGCUGAGGUCGAUUUUGCCUUUCAUCCUUUCGGGGUCGAUCAAUUAAGUACUAUUGCGUACUUGGGUCGCUCUAAUCGAUGCCCCCUCCCCGAAAAUUUCGGGCCUUGUGCCUAGAGUAGAAAAUAUAUCGAAGAUAC